rnacentral:rRNA from 1 species
GAUGAACGCUAGCGGGAGGCUUAAUACAUGCAAGUCGAGGGGUAACAUGGGAGACUUCGGUUUCCUGAUGACGACCGGCGCACGGGUGCGUAACGCGUACACAACAUGCCUUAUACAGGAGAAUAGCCCUUGGAAACGAGGAUUAAUGCUCCAUAGUAAUAUUUGCUCGCAUGGGUAAAUAUUUAAAGCUACGGCGGUAUAAGAUUGGUGUGCGUACUAUUAGAUAGUUGGUGAGGUAACGGCUCACCAAGUCAAUGAUAGUUAGGGGGCGUGAGAGCGUGAUCCCCCACACGGGUACUGAGACACGGACCCGACUCCUACGGGAGGCAGCAGUAAGGAAUAUUGGACAAUGGAGGCAACUCUGAUCCAGCCAUCCCGCGUGCAGGAUGACGGCGCUCUGCGUUGUAAACUGCUUUUAGACAGGAAGAAACGCCUUCAUUUAUGAGGGUUUGACGGUACUGUCAGAAUAAGCACCGGCUAAUUCCG